GACGAACGCUGGCGGCGUGCUUAACACAUGCAAGUCGAACGAGAAAGCCCUUCGGGGUAAGUACAGUGGCGAACGGGUGAGUAACACGUGGGCAACCUGCCCCAGAGAGCGGGACAACCCGGGGAAACCCGGGCUAAUACCGCAUGAUGCGUCUCCACUUAAGUGGAGCCGCCAAAUGGUAGCUUCGGCCUCCGCUCUGGGAUGGGCCCGCGCCGGAUUAGCUAGUUGGUUGGGGUAAUGGCCCACCAAGGCGACGAUCCGUAGCUGGUCUGAGGGGACGAUCAGCCACACUGGGACUGAGACACGGCCCAGACUCCUACGGGAGGCAGCAGUGGGGAAUCUUGCGCAAUGGGCGAAAGCCUGACGCAGCAACGCCGCGUGGGGGAAGAAGGCCUUCGGGUUGUAAACCUCUUUCAGUAGGGACGAAGCUUCCGGGGUUAAUAGCCUACGGGGUGACGGUACCUACAGAAGAAGCCCCGGCUAACUACGUGCCAGCCGCCGCGAUAA
rnacentral:rRNA from 1 species